rnacentral:rRNA from 1 species
CCUACGGGGGGCUGCAGUGAGGAAUAUUGGUCAAUGGACGAGAGUCUGAACCAGCCAAGUAGCGUGAAGGAUGACUGCCCUAUGGGUUGUAAACUUCUUUUAUAUGGGAAUAAAACGUUCCACGUGUGGGAUUUUGUAUGUACCAUAUGAAUAAGGAUCGGCUAACUCCGUGCCAGCAGCCGCGGUAAUACGGAGGAUCCGAGCGUUAUCCGGAUUUAUUGGGUUUAAAGGGAGCGUAGGUGGAUUGUUAAGUCAGUUGUGAAAGUUUGCGGCUCAACCGUAAAAUUGCAGUUGAAACUGGCAGUCUUGAGUACAGUAGAGGUGGGCGGAAGUCGUGGUGUAGCGGUGAAAUGCUUAGAUAUCACGAAGAACUCCGAUUGCGAAGGCAGUUCACUGGACUGCAACUGACACUGAGGCUCGAAAGUGUGGGUAUCAAACAGGAUGAGAUACCCCAGUAGUC